rnacentral:rRNA from 1 species
ACAGCAGCCGCCGCGGUAAUACGAAGGGGGCUAGCGUUGUUCGGAAUUACUGGGCGUAAAGCGCACGUAGGCGGAUAUUUAAGUCAGGGGUGAAAUCCCGCAGCUCAACUGCGGAACUGCCUUUGAUACUGGGUAUCUUGAGUAUGGAAGAGGUUAGUGGAAUUGCGAGUGUAGAGGUGAAAUUCGUAGAUAUUCGCAGGAACACCAGUGGCGAAGGCGGCUAACUGGUCCAUAACUGACGCUGAGGUGCGAAAGCGUGGGGAGCAAACAGGAUUAGAUACCCGCGUAGUCCCUGUCUCUUAUAC